AUGGGUAUGUCUCCUUAUAAAAUGGUUUAUGGAAAAGCUUGUCAUUUGCCUCUUGAGUUAGAACAUAAAGCUUUUUGGGCAGUUAAAGAACUCAAUUAUGAUUUCAAACUAGCUGGUGAAAAGAGGUUAUUUGAUAUUAGCUCAUUAGAUGAAUGGAGAACCCAAGCAUAUGAAAAUGCAAGGUUAUUCAAAGAAAAAGUUAAAAUAUGGCAUGACAAAAUAAUCCAAAAGCGUGAGUUUAAAGUCGGAGAAUAUGUUCUUUUGUACAACUCUCGUUUUAGAUUUUUUGCAGGGAAGAUCCUCUCGAAAUGGGAAGGCCCAUAUGUCAUCGAGGAGGUUUACCGGCCUGGUGCAAAAUAA
rnacentral:rRNA from 1 species